CAAGGACCAAGGAAAAUUGUAGUUAAGGAAGGUCAACAUCCCACGUAGCAAUGGAUUACAGCUCGGCUGGAUUUGAUUCUUGUAUUUGAUGUUAGUGGUUCUCAAAUAGGUGGAUAACAAAGCACAAACUACUGAAAUUUUAAUUAGCCAGGGGCGUCUGGAACUGCAAAAGAAAUUAAAAAAGUUUUUUAGAUUGAAGGGAUCUCAUAGGUUCUGAUAGUAUUUAAAAUGGCUGAACCUCAUGCAUUUAGAAGCGGAUGCCAAAAGUCUCAAAGAGGAGAUACUCUUAGUCGAGUGUCGUAUGUUUGAAAGCAGGGCAGACUGAGGAUCGGUUUGUGGCAAAAAGUUUUUAACUCUUGAAAAUGAAGCUAGAGAGUAUCAGUGAUAAAUUCUACAGCCAGGAAAUUGGCUCGUAAUACAAGUUUUUUAAACACUAAACCAUGUUAAAUUAUGUCACAUUACUAGUUAUUAUCGCACUCUUGAAAUAACCUUUGUAAUAAUCUCCACGGCUGAAUUUUCUCAGAACCACAUGAGCCGUUGAUGAACUAUUAGAGCUGUACAUUUAGGUUAGCGACCAAAAUUUUCAAGCUGCCGUACAUUUCAUAAAUAAGUCUUCAUACAUCUUCCUCUCCCCCAAAUCAAAGGAGGGUGGAGCCACAAAGAACAAGCGGAGGGAGACCGAAGACGUGAAACAAACAGCGUUAAAACCAGAACAAUGGGAACAGGGGAGCCCAGGAAGGAACUACCCAGAACGAGAAAACAAGAUGAACGGAUGACAGUGGGGAAGGAUGCACACUGUCAUGGUUGCCUCUCUCAGUCACUCUCCCCUCCCCCGCCUGCUCUGCUCUGGACACGACCAGCUGUUCCUACUCACCUCAUCAUCCCUGCAGCCUUCUUAAGGAGCUUCUGGACCUUCACUCGACGCCAGUUCGUUGUUCCUCCUAUGGACCUGGCACCGCCGGCCGAACAUCUACGAAUUCCUACCAUCCAAGUGUGUGCUGCUAUAAGUUCUUCCCAAAGAAGUUGCAUGCAAAUGUGGUGGAGAAUAUCAAACACACCAGCACACACUGUGCCAAGAAAGCUGUUCUUUUGACGCUGAAAAAUAAGCAAGAGUACUGUGCUGACCCGUCCAUGGAGUGGGUGAAGAAACUCAUUAAGAACUUCUUAUAAGGCGCCACUCCACUUUGAUCCAUCAUUCCUUAAUGACUGGGGUUAUAAGCUUUUAAGGAUAAGCAGAUAAGCAACAGCUUGACAUUUUAAGGGCUGCUUUUAUUUCACAGCUAAAGACAAUGUUCAUCAAAUGUUGCCUGUGUUACAAAAUAUUCUCUGCUGCUUAGACACAGUCUACUUCAUCAUGAAUUUGCCAAGGCAUAAAAGUUCAUUAAACUUGCAAAUAUAGAAAAAUAAAAAAUGAAAAUGAUGUAUUUUCCAUUUGGUAGAUUCUUGAAAAUGUUUUCUGGUCUGGUCAUCAUUUUGAACAACAAAAAAAUCAAAGCUGCUGUGGAUUUUAGUUGAUUAAAUGCUAAACGUUAGAAAUGACAAAAUGAAAACUUUUUGUAAUUCUUGACAAAUAAAGAAAAUUUGCUUUUUCAUUUGGUUUCAUCGUAACAUGAAUUGUUUUUUGUAUGCAAUAAAGAAUAAAACCACCAGA